UAUUAAAAAUUUUAUUUAUUUCUAUUGUUAAAAACUGACAUGAUUGAUUAAAUAAUUAGAUAGUUACACAUAGCGUGUCACAUAUACUUCAUGCAGAUGUACAAGAACUGAUUCUUAACAGUAGAAUUGAAUGAAAUAUUUAACC
rfam:Gossypium hirsutum cultivar TM-1 chromosome 21, whole genome shotgun sequence